GAAGAGCCUGAAGGAGCCCUUGGGAGAUGGGCAGUAAAUGUGUGAGUGGGCACACCUGGGGGAGGCUGUUCAGAGUGCUCUGGGAUGUCUGACAGACUGCAGGACUGCUGACACUUGAUCACAGCCCCUGCAAGCUGAUGCAGCUCUUCCUGUCCUGUUCCUGCAAGAGCAGGAAGGAUUCACGGAGAUCCUCCCAGCCCAGAGACUCCUCAGAAACCCUCUGUCUUUAGACUGCUUGUGAAAAAAGGCACCAUCAUCUGAUUUUCAGUUUAUGAUGAGAUCCGCCAAUUAUUUAGAAACUCACCCUACACACUCUAUAACUGAAAAAUGCAAGAAAAUUUCUUAUGAAAAUCUUCACUGUGAAGAGUAAUCACCUGGCUGCUUAUGUAAAACUUCAGGCCAAUACCUGACUGCCACAGAGCCUGGCUCCAGUGUCUGCUGCCACUUGGAAGGAAACUGGCUGGAGAUCCUUCCUGUGCUGGGGUAAGGUCCUUGUUGCUCUGGAAUAUCCUUCAAGAUGGCACAAAAACAUAUAUACAGAUCCAACAUAUACAAAACAGAUAUAUGAUGUCCAGGAGGUGGUACUGGACAUCUCUGCAGG